UUUUUAGAAUGUCAUUUUUUAUUGAACAAAAAUACACCACCACAAUAUACAAUUCCAUUAUUUGACAAAAGUCUUCAUCUUGUUCAAAAUAUAUCUGUUUGCUAAUUAUCUGAAAGUGCAAUGAAAUAUUCCAGUUCUAGAGAUACAUUGAAAAGUAUAAUCGGUCUAUAAAUGUUUAGUGGUACAUACAUUAUUCUUAUAGUUUCAAAGCAUACUGAAUAUAUGUUCACAGGUGCAUCAGUUGUAGAAGUGUCCUUGUUAUUUUUAACAUGCAUUUUAAAUAUGCAUUUUGCAUGAACUUAAAUUAAAACCAUUCUUAAAACAAGAUUUAAACGGGAAUCCAUAUUGUCAAAAGGUUAUUUACGUUAUUACACUAGCUUAUAAUGUACAUUUAGGCAUGAAUUUGUGUAACUUAAUAAGUAAGUACGACUUACCCCCCCCCCCCCCCCCCCCCCCCCCCA